GUUGAACGCUGGCGGCGUGCCUAAUACAUGCAAGUCGAGCGAACAGACGAGGAGCUUGCUCCUCUGACGUUAGCGGCGGACGGGUGAGUAACACGUGGAUAACCUACCUAUAAGACUGGGAUAACUUCGGGAAACCGGAGCUAAUACCGGAUAAUAUAUUGAACCGCAUGGUUCAAUAGUGAAAGACGGUUUUGCUGUCACUUAUAGAUGGAUCCGCGCCGCAUUAGCUAGUUGGUAAGGUAACGGCUUACCAAGGCAACGAUGCGUAGCCGACCUGAGAGGGUGAUCGGCCACACUGGAACUGAGACACGGUCCAGACUCCUACGGGAGGCAGCAGUAGGGAAUCUGCCGCAAUGGGCGAAAGCCUGACGGAGCAACGCCGCGUGAGUGAUGAAGGUCUUCGGAUCGUAAAACUCUGUUAUUAGGGAAGAACAAAUGUGUAAGUAACUAUGCACGUCUGGACGGUACCUAAUCAGAAAGCCACGGCUAACUACGU
rnacentral:rRNA from 1 species